UACGUAGGGUGCAAGCGUUGUCCGGAAUUAUUGGGCGUAAAGAGCUUGUAGGCGGUUUGUCGCGUCUGCUGUGAAAUUUCGGGGCUCAACCCCGAACUUGCAGUGGGUACGGGCAGACUAGAGUGUGGUAGGGGAGACUGGAAUUCCUGGUGUAGCGGUGAAUGCGCAGAUAUCAGGAGGAACACCGGUGGCGAAGGCGGGUCUCUGGGCCGUAACUGACGCUGAGGAGCGAAAGCGUGGGGAGCGAACAGG
rnacentral:rRNA from 1 species